rnacentral:rRNA from 1 species
AUUGAACGCUGGCGGCAUGCUUUACACAUGCAAGUCGAACGGCAGCGCGGGCUUCGGCCUGGCGGCGAGUGGCGAACGGGUGAGUAAUACAUCGGAACGUGCCCAGUAGUGGGGGAUAGCUCGGCGAAAGCCGGAUUAAUACCGCAUACGACCUGAGGGUGAAAGCGGGGGAUCUUCGGACCUCGCGCUAUUGGAGCGGCCGAUGGCAGAUUAGCUAGUUGGUGGGGUAAAGGCCUACCAAGGCGACGAUCGGUAGCUGGUCUGAGAGGACGACCAGCCACACUGGGACUGAGACACGGCCCAGACUCCUACGGGAGGCAGCAGUGGGGAAUUUUGGACAAUGGGCGAAGGCCUGAUCCAGCAAUGCCGCGUGUGUGAUGAAGGCCUUCGGGUUGUAAAGCACUUUUGGCGGGAACGAAAAGGACUGUGCCAAUACCACGGUUCGAUGACGGUACCCGCAGAAUAAGCACCGGCUAACUACGUG